GUGCGGCACUCCCUCAGCACUGACCCUCCGACAGUGUAGCACUCCCUCAGUACUGACCCUCCGACAGUGUACCUAUGAACCAAUGAUAGUGCAGGCUGAUGUGAAUCUAUUGUUCCCACAGUGAGUGAGGAGGAGGUCGAAGACCUGGUGGAUGAUGUGCAGGAUAUUCAUCUCUGAGCUACAGCCCACAACCGGCUCCAGACCUGAAGGUUACUGAGGUGGACCGUCUAACCAUCUCCCCUGCUGGACAUCGGCCGUACCUCUCUCCCGCUCCCUGAGUGACGUCCCCUCUUUGGGUGGGAUUCAAGGGGGGGAGGGUGGGACCGACAGUGAUCCAUCGAUGGCCUUGCAGUGGGCCGCAAUGGCGGUUGGACCAGACAACGUGGUGCUGCGAGCGGGAGCACGUUGACUGAGUCUCCGGUGUGAACCAGCUCAAUUCUCGACCAACCCCCCUCCCCAUCCCCAUUCGCCAUUUCCACCUGCGUUCAUUUCCUUGCUGUUGGUUCUCACCCUCUGCCCUGUCUGGGGGCGCCCGGGAGGAAGGGUCGACUCGGAGUCUGUGCGACCUUCGCCCCUUGUGGAGGUUUCCAGCUUGGCCAAGAGUUCGCAAACCCGACUCGCGUUCUUACGUCGUCCUUCCCAAAGGACUACAACCGGGUACCACUUACACGCCCCAACAUUUCUGCGCCUCUCCACCCAAUUUGUUUUCACUUUACGUCGGCCAUUUUGUUUGGUCCCCUUUAACCUGAGACAGGAGCCUGAGGUGUUCGGCCUAACAAAUCUUGGACCUGCGUUGCUGCCAACUUUUGUGAGCUCUCGCCUGUGUACAUUUUCUUUCGCUGAGACCCUCGGUGAGGGUGGGGGCUACGAAAUUACGUCGCAGCUUCGAGAAGCAUCGGACGCAUCACCCCUCCAGCCCUCGCGACAGGCCCGAGGUCGGGCCUCGUUGACAACUUUUAAUAAAGUUUCAAUGCCAUUUAA